rfam:Toxocara canis scaffold162, whole genome shotgun sequence.
GCGGCAGUAGCUCAGUGGUAGAGCCCUCGCUUCGCAUGCGGGGAGAUCUGGGUUCGAUUCACGGCUGCUUCC